GCUCCGGGGAGGCCCCAUGGCCUCCCCGGGAAAGCCCUGACGGCGCGGGAUGGGGUCGCGGCCCAUUAGGUAGACGGCGGGGUAACGGCCCACCGUGCCCGCGAUGGGUAGCCGGACUGAGAGGUCGACCGGCCACAUUGGGACUGAGAUACGGCCCAGACUCCUACGGGAGGCAGCAGUGGGGAAUUUUGCGCAAUGGGGGGAACCCUGACGCAGCAACGCCGCGUGCGGGACGAAGGCCUUCGGGUUGUAAACCGCUUUCAGCAGGGAAGACUUUGACGGUACCUGCAGAAGAAGCUCCGGCUAACUACGUGCCAGCAGCCGCGGUAAUACGUAGGGGGCGAGCGUUAUCCGGAUUCAUUGGGCGUAAAGCGCGCGUAGGCGGCCGCCUAAGCGGAACCUCUAAUCCCGGGGCUCAACCUCGGGCCGGGUUCCGGACUGGGCGGCUCGAGUGCGGUAGAGGCAGGCGGAAUUCCCGGUGUAGCGGUGGAAUGCGCAGAUAUCGGGAAGAACACCGAUGGCGAAGGCAGCCUGCUGGGCCGCCACUGACGCUGAGGCGCGAAAGCUGGGGGAGCGAACAGGAUUAGAUACCCUGGUAGUCCCAGCCGUAAACGAUGGACGCUAGGUGUGGGGGGACCAUCCCCCCGUGCCGCAGCCAACGCAUUAAGCGUCCCGCCUGGGGAGUACGGCCGCAAGGCUAAAACUCAAAGGAAUUGACGGGGGCCCGCACAAGCAGCGGAGCAUGUGGCUUAAUUCGAAGCAACGCGAAGAACCUUACCAGGGCUUGACAUGCGAGUGAAGCCGCGGAGACGCGGUGGCCGAGAGGAGCUCGCGCAGGUGGUGCAUGGCUGUCGUCAGCUCGUGUCGUGAGAUGUUGGGUUAAGUCCCGCAACGAGCGCAACCCCCGUCCCGUGUUGCCAGCAUUCAGUUGGGGACUCGCGGGAGACUGCCGGCGUCAAGCCGGAGGAAGGUGGGGACGACGUCAAGUCAUCAUGCCCCUUAUGCCCUGGGCUGCACACGUGCUACAAUGGCCGGUACAGAGGGUUGCCACCCCGCGAGGGGGAGCGGAUCCCGGAAAGCCGGUCCCAGUUCGGAUCGCAGGCUGCAACCCGCCUGCGUGAAGU
rnacentral:rRNA from 1 species